rnacentral:rRNA from 1 species
AUUGAACGCUAGCGGGAUGCUUUACACAUGCAAGUCGAACGGCAGCGCGGACUUCGGUCUGGCGGCGAGUGGCGAACGGGUGAGUAAUGUAUCGGAACGUGCCCAGUAGCGGGGGAUAACUACUCGAAAGAGUGGCCAAUACCGCAUACGCCCUGAGGGGGAAAGCUGGGGAUCUUCGGACCUAGCGUUAAUGGAGCGGCCGAUAUCUGAUUAGCUAGUAGGUGAGGUAAAGGCUCACCUAGGCGACGAUCAGUAGCUGGUCUGAGAGGACGACCAGCCACACUGGAACUGAGACACGGUCCAGACUCCUACGGGAGGCAGCAGUGGGGAAUUUUGGACAAUGGGGGCAACCCUGAUCCAGCCAUUCCGCGUGAGUGAAGAAGGCCUUCGGGUUGUAAAGCUCUUUCGCAAGGGAAGAAAACUUAACCUCUAACAUAGGUUGAGGCUGACGGUACCUUGAUAAGAAGCACCGGCUAACUACGUGCCAGCAGCCGCCGUAAUAC